UAGCCUCGUGAACGGGAACAGUCCCCCUAACCA
rnacentral:tRNA from 1 species